GCUUGGCUCAGCGAGGAGAUCAUCUGCUUUGCAUGAAGAAAGUCCUGGGUUCAAUCCCCAGCAUCUCCA